rnacentral:rRNA from 1 species
UACGAAGGGGGCUAGCGUUGCUCGGAAUUACUGGGCGUAAAGCGCACGUAGGCGGCUUUCUAAGUCGGGGGUGAAAUCCUGGAGCUCAACUCCAGAACUGCCUUCGAUACUGGAGAGCUUGAGUCCGGGAGAGGUGAGUGGAACUGCGAGUGUAGAGGUGAAAUUCGUAGAUAUUCGCAAGAACACCAGUGGCGAAGGCGGCUGUCUGGUCCGGUUCUGACGCUGAGGCGCGAAAGCGUGGGGAGCAAACAGG